CCGCACAAACCGGGUCUAGGGCAGGCUCCAAGCGGCCAGAUGUUGUCACAGGCUGAAGUAAUUUAACGUGUUUAAAACUCCGGAAAUUCCACACGAAUGAAAAAGAAAGUGCAGUAUUCAGUACUAGUGGAGUGGGAAGGGGAAAGACAAUUUGCACAAAUACAAGCCCAACCUGUGACCAACGUGCCGAAGCCUCCCGGCCUGGGCGGACACCACCCAUAGUCUUCAAUUCUGGUUUCUGGAAAGAAACGUGGCAUUGAAGAUUUCCAGGCCUGGUUUUUGGUAUAUUCUGCGUCAACAAGCUUUGGAUUUUUCCGAGAUAGAAGAAUGAGAGGAUCUCGUUCUGGACUUGUCCUGUAAAAAGAAACACGUGACAUAAAACAAUGUGUCCCACACUGGAAUACUCUUCCCAAUCUCUGAAAGGCAGUCCUGGAACUGUUCAAGUCCACAUACAGUACCAAGUUAAGAAGCUGUGAUCUCAAGAUCUGAGAAUCAGAGAAGUUGAUAAGGACCAGUAAACAGUGGCUGCUGGGCCCGUCUGCAUUCUCAAGUUCACUGCCCAAGUAAAUAGAAGGUGUGAUCUCCAAGAAAGACUGACCAGGAAAACAACAAAACCCUUCUCCCUGUUGUGUUCAUGUGUACAGGAGAGAUUCAUCAUGUAUCUGCAUGCUAGGUACUGUUCUUGGCACUGGAGAUGCAGGUAGAGAGGGUGCUUGCCCAACAUUUCUCUCUCCCUUCUCCUCCCUUUCUUCCCUGCUUCUGUUUCCAUUUCCACCAGUCUCAGUCUGUGCUUUCCAUCACUAUUUAGCAGCCCAUGGCCUCAUGAGAAAGAUAGUCAGGAGAACUGGUGACUGUUCCUGCUCUGCCAUUACCUAGCAAAGUGACUAGCAGAGGGCCAGGUCAGAAGCUCCCUAUAGAAAAUUAUAAUCUCUGAGGCAAGAGGACAACUCAGCUGUUCUCUUCAGCAUGUACUUGAUGCCCAACACACUCAGGGCACUCUGUUAAUACCUGUUGAAUGACUAGAUGAAUGAACUUUACUUCUUUCAAUUUCAGUUCAAUUAAGAGUGACUUAGGCAAGAGGCACUUGGGCGGCUCAGUCAGUUAAGCAUCUGACUCUUGA